UCUCCGUAGGUGAACCUGCGGAGGGAUCAUUACUGAGUGAGGGUCUCCGGGCCCGACCUCCAACCCCAUGUGAACAGAAACCUGUUGCUUCGGGGGCGACCCUGCCUUUCGGCGCGGCGCCCCCGGAGGCUCAUCAAACACUGCAUCUCUGCGUCGGAGUUUAAAACAAAUUAAACAAAACUUUCAACAACGGAUCUCUUGGUUCUGGCAUCGAUGAACGCAGC
rnacentral:misc_RNA from 1 species